GGCAGCUGCGCCGCCAAAGCCCCGGGCCCCAGCGGCCCCCCACCCCUCACUCGCGCGCUCCCACACUGCCUCCCCCCUCCCCAGGGGAAGGCCUUUUAAUUUAUUUAUUCUGCUGGGACUUAGGUUGGGGGCUUGGCGGCGGGGGAGGGGGGGGUCUCCCCGGGCUCUACCUCCCGCGGCUGGGGCUACCCUCCGAGCCGCGGCCGCCGCGGCUUGCGCCUCGGGCCUCCAAAACUGUUUCCAAACUGCCAAGACCGGAGGUGGGCGCGUGGGGGCCCAAGGGAAAGGGCUGGUUUUGGGGUGUGUGUAUGAUUGUGUGUUUAGACGCCUGGAGCCGUGAGGGGCGGCAAGGCGGCCCCCAGACGAGUUGCAAUCGAGGUAUCUCGGCUACGGCUUCCUCUUCUGCCCCGCGACCCCCUCCCCCCGGAGCUGAGUUGGGGAGGGGAAACCAGGAUUUUAACCAAAUUAGCAUUUACAUUCCUGGGAGGAAGCAGCCCUGGCCUGGACCUGGGUGAUAGAAGCUUCUUUCUGUUUUUAUUUUUGGAGAGGAGUGCCCUUGUAAUUGUCGUGAACACAUGCUUCUCCCUCCGCACCCCCCUCCUUUCCUCCAGCCACCGGCGGAGGAACGAUUCCCCCUUUUUUGCAUUUAUCUUUCCUUCCCCUUUCUUUAUUAAAGGUCCGGGAGUGGCGGCGGCCAAUCAGCGCGCGGCUUCCAUUUUGUGAGUUCAACUCCGAGGCUCUCGGGCUUCGCGAGGACGCGUUUGCAGCCCCCUCUGCCUCUCCUGUCUGGCGGCCGAGGAGAGGGAGCCGCCUCGCUGGGGUUUCGUGGUAGUGUAUUUCAUAUUGGGGCUCUUUUCGGGGUUUGUAAUUUGGCCGUGGGUAGGUAAUUGGCUGGAGCAGGGCGGCCGGGCGCGGCAGCCAAUCAGCGCGCGGCUUCUAUAGGGCUUGAGUUAUUAGACGCUGAUCUCAAAACAUCCUUCAUCAGACACCAAGGAGAGGCCAACAGAUGAGGGGAGCCAUUUUUCUGCAAUGGAAUUAAAUGGCCAAGUGGGUUUUUCCUUUGUUGCAAAUGGGGAAUGUUUUUCCUUUGACUCCACCAUCCCGUUCAGGACGCCUCAGUGUUGUGUUUAACAUUUGUCAACAAGCUAAAGGACUCAAAAUUGGAAGAAUGAAGAAGACUUUAAAAAGAUCUGGAUUUUUCCUUAUGACUUGGAAUCCAUCUUUGUCUUGUAUAACUAGGUCAUAGCACACCAUUAAUGUCAGCAGUUAACAAUUUUGAAUUCCAAAAAACCUAAGUAAAUGACAUAUUUAAUUUUUUUCCUCUUUUUUUUUUCUUGGGUGGGUGGGGGGAGCUUGGAGCUGUCUUAAUCUGUAUUCUCUUAACUGAACAAUAAAUUUUUAUAUAGUUUCCUCUAUUAAACACUUAAAACUGGCCAUCUUAUUAACUCCUUCUCUCUUUUUAACAAGGUAAUGUUUUAAAUGUAUAGUUUUAGGUUUAGCGAAAUGGCAGCAACAAAAAACUGUAAGCAGUCGUUACUCUUAAGUUUUUAAAAACCUUUUACAUUGUAAGUACCCAAUCCAUUCUGUCCUUACGCAGUGCAGUUUUCAUGUUAAUGUUGCUGAGAUGUCCUUAAUUUUCUGAACCUUCAUCUGCAUGUAUGUCUUUGUCGCUCUUGUCUAGCAUAAGCCAGUUAAAAUGCUUUUAGACGAUUUUGCUUUUAUAAAGCUAGGUGUUAAACUUUUGAAAAUGUUUACAGCAAUAAAUGCUAGUUAGCUUUCUUCCCCGUAACAGGUACACUUUUUUUGAAAAUCGAUCUAUUUGAAGAAAAACAGACUGUUUUUCUCGUCUUUGUUGGGGAAGGGGGGUUGUGAGGGAAAGGAAGACUUCUUUGUGUCAAGAGACUAAAGCCGUCACAGGAAACUAGAUUAAAACUGGAAAACAAGUCCUAGCUGGUUCGAGCCAAACACCAUCGUUAACUCGGGGGUAGUUUCUAUGGUAGUUGGGAUGGCCGAGCAGUAAACAGUCCUCAGCGAAGCCGCCUUUUGCCAACCCAACCCUGGAAAGUUUGCAGAAGUGGAAGGAGCAGAAAAUGCCAUGAGAGUGUAACUUUAAAAAGCUUGAUCUUCCAGACUCCAUGGCACCGGGCUGAGCGGUAAGUAAAAAAAAAAAAAAAAGUGUCUUUGCCCCUUCGAGGAAAUGUUUUUUAGAGAAGGCCAAGCGUUGCAAAUGUUUAGGAGCUGAGGGGAGAAGGAGGUUUCUGGAGCUUCACGUUUGGCAGCCGGAUCGGGGAGGGUUGGGGGCACGAGGAGGGAUCUUCAGACCCUUUGCCCCUUUUGCCCAGGAGGCAAGAGGAAGGCCUCCCCAGCGAUUUGGGGCAUCCAUGGAGCCGCCUGCGCUAGUUCCCCUCGCUUUUCUAGGUUUGAGCCUUGAUAGGGAGAAGAAAUUGAAGUGCUUUGAGAAGGGGGUCACAAAAGCUGAGGAAGCCUCUCUUUCCGGGCCUGAGGCCUCUUUUCCUUUUGAUGGUGGGGGUCUCGCCCUCCGAAGCCGGCUUUUCGGGGCUCCUGGGCGCGCCUGCGCUUCCUAAGCAAAAAGGACAAAAGGCCGGCGUCCAUGUUGGCACCAUGACGCAGCAUCUCUCCCGCUUUGCAGCCCGAGCGCUGCCUGU
ensembl:lncRNA